UGCUUUUUAAACAGUACAUCAAUGCCACGCACAAGGCAAUUUUUGUUCUUGACCCUCUGGGACAUGAUGAGCUCAAGGACUCUGAAGAGGCAGGACAAAGAUUCAGGGACUACUUCAAGAUGCGCCAUAACAGGUAUGGUAAAGAAGACUGGGUCCAUAUCAAGUGGACAGCCGGGACAAUUGAUCACACAAAGCAGACAGAUGGUGCCAGUUGUGGAGUUUUUGUCAUGAAGAUGGCUGAAGACAUUGUUUCUCAGUUUCCUGAAAUUCCCAGAUCCAUGAUACUGCCAUCAAACAAAGCUGAG
rnacentral:lncRNA from 1 species